rnacentral:lncRNA from 1 species
UCCCCUCCAAGUCUCUGACCACUACCUUGUAUCCUUUUCCCUCUCGCUCUCAUCCAACACUUCUCACUCUGCCCCUACUCGGAUGGUAUUGCGGCGUCCCAACCUUCGCUCUCUCUCUCCCGCUACUCUCUCCUCUUCCAUCCUAUCAUCUCUUCCCUCUGCUCAAACCUUCUCCAACCUAUCUCCUGAUUCUGCCUCCUCAACCCUCCUCUCCUCCCUCUCUGCAUCCUUUGAUUUUCUCUGUCCCCUAUCCUCCAGGCCGGCUCGGUCCUCCCCUCCUGCUCCGUGGCUCGACGACUCACUGCGAGCUCACAGAACAGGGCUCCGGGCAGCCGAGCGGAAAUGGAGGAAAACUCGCCUCCCCCGCGGACCUGGCAUCCUUUCACUCCCUCCUCUCUACAUUUUCCUCUUCUGUCUCUGCUGCUAAAGCCACUUUCUACCACUCUAAAUUCCAAGCAUCUGCCUCUAACCCUAGGAAGCUCUUUGCUACCUUCUCCUCCCUCCUGAAUCCUCCUCCCCUCCCCCCCUCCUCCCUCUCUGCAGAUGACUUCGUCAACCAUUUUGAAAAGAAAGUUGACGACAUCCGAUCCUCGUUUGCUAAGUCAAACGACACCGCUGGUCCUGCUCACACUGCCCUACCCUGUGCUUUGACCUCUUUCUCCCCUCUCUCUCCAGAUGAAAUCUCGCGUCUUGUGACGGCCGGCCGCCCAACAACCUAACCACUUGACCCUAUCCCAUUCUCUCUUCUCCAGACCAUUUCCGGAGACCUUCUCCCCUACCUCACCUCGCUCAUCAACUCAUCCUUGACCGCUGGCUACGUCCCUUCCGUCUUCAAGAGAGCGAGAGUUGCACCCCUUCUGGAAAAACCUACACUCGAUCCCUCCGAUGUCAACAACUACAGACCAACCUAUCUGCUGCCUUUGAUACUGUGAACCAUCAGAUCCUCCUCUCCACCCUCUCCGAGUUGGGCAUCUCCGGCGCGUCCCACGCUUGGAUUUUGUCCUACCUGACAGGUCGCUCCUACCAGGUGGCGUGGCGAGAAUCUGUCUCCGCACCACAUGCUCUCACCACUGGUGUCCCCCAGGGCUCUGUUCUAGGCCCUCUCCUAUUCUCGCUAUACACCAAGUCUCUUGGCUCUGUCAUAUCCUCACAUGGUCUCUCCUAUCAUUGCUAUGCAGACAACACACAAUUAAUCUUCUCCUUUCCCCCUUCUGACAACCAGGUGGUGAAUCGCAUCUCUGCAUGUCUGGCAGACAUAUCAGUGUGGAUGA